CCUCAAGGUACACAAGGGAAGCUGCAGGUGGAUAUUAGGAAAAAAUUAUUUACUGAAAGAGUGGUUAAGCACUGGAACAGACUCCCCAGGGAAGUGGUAGAGUCACCAUAGACUUGAAAAACAAGCAGAUGUGGCAUUUAAACUCGAUAUUUUUUAGUGGGUUUGAUGGUAUUUGGUCAAUGGUUGGACUUGAUGAUCCUGGAGAUCUUCCCACAGACAAAGCUGCUCCCCAAAGAGAAAUAAUCAGAUAUUAAAUCACAGGAAGGUCCAAGGAUUUGCUCAGGGUAACUCUGGGCAGAGAUGGCGAUGGUGGGAGUGACCCAGCGUGGCAGAACCUGUGUACCAACUUCAGCUAAACACGUCACCAACAAAUUCAGCUGGAGACAGAGAAGAAAAGGUGAUUUUCUGAGGAGAGGCCAGGAUUUCUGCAUGUUUUUUGAACAGCCACAUCACAGGAGAUAUUCAAGCUCCCAUGCUUCACUGAGCAGCGUUACCUGGGCAGGAGAUGCUGUUUUCCAGGAGGAGAAGCUCCAAGGAGCUUGUGAACCUUUUUAACAGCAGA
rnacentral:lncRNA from 12 species